AGAGCGGCUGGGCUGGCUGAGGUCAGGUCUUAACCACAUGAUGGUGAGCUGGUGGUGACAGCUACAGAAAUGAAGUCAGGUUGGCAAAAACUGAAGGAAAGACGGGAGAAAGAGGAGAGGGCCAAAAGAGGCAGGCAACUGGUCACUCAAUUGUUCGCCAAUAAAGAAGGAGGAGGACAAGAUCCGCCCACGGCCACCACGACUGGAUUCCAUUUCGGAGAAGGAGGUAAGCAACAUUAGUUUGGUAGGAUGUUAGUUGCUUUAGGAUGAAAGUUUUGAAUGAGGGUGCCUUCUAGGCUAGAUCAUAUUUCAGUAUUUGACGGUCAGUCGUUAGGUUCGAGAAAACAGAAUGUUUUUCUUUCUUUUACUGUAACUCUUGUUACUUGUAUAUUUUUAUUGAUGUCUACAAUGUGGAUCCAUUGAUAUUGUAUGCAAUUGCACUGUAAAUUAUGUUCUUUGUUUACAUUUUGAUUGUUACUUGGAGCUAUUUUUUGCACUUUAGACUUCAGCAAUUAAACUUUUUAUUCAUGAACAGUGUAAAUUGAGAUUUUUUUUCAUAUUGUUUGAAGCUGAAGUGUAAAUAUUUGUGUUGAUGUCAAGCAAUUGUAAUGUUAAUUCAGUUCCUAUAAGAGUCUAUCUUUUUAAUGUAUCUUUUUUAUGUACUAUUUAUGGAAUUUGAAAUUGUACUUGCAUAAUAAAUAUGUGUUUAAAGUAA